GACAGAGGCCUCGAGCGUUAGGCGGAAUCACUGGGCUUAAAGCGUGUGUAGGCGGGCCCGUAAGUGUCUUGUGAAAUCCCACGGCUCAACCGUGGAACUGCUGGGCAUACUGCGGGUCUUGGGCCAACUAGGGGCAACCGGAACAAACGGUGGAGCGGUGAAAUGCGUAGAUAUCGUUUGGAACGCCAAUGGUGAAAACAGGUUGCUGGGAGUGUGCUGACGCUGAGACACGAAAGCCAGGGGAGCAAACGGG
rnacentral:rRNA from 1 species